ensembl:misc_RNA
CCAGUAGUUUGCACAAACUGAAGUCGUCCACUUGCCCAUAAAACAGGUAGCAAGUGAGCAGGGGCGGUACAGACUUUCCCACAGUCCUUUAUCAAUAUGUCAGUGUUGCGACCUCAAAGAGCAAGGACUAAGAGUGAGAGAGAAUUAGCCAGUCAGUGCACCCCAUUUAAUCCUUGGUGCUGUU